UCUUAUGAAGAGAAGCUGAGGGAACUGGACCUAUGAAGCUUCAGCAACCUGCCUUUACGGUGAGGUGCUACAUCCAGCAAAUGGUUUGGUCCAUUUGGAAAAUAAG
rnacentral:ncRNA from 1 species